rnacentral:lncRNA from 1 species
UUGUCAAAGCACAUAUUAACUUCCAUGAACAUCUCCCUUGGAUUCCUUGAGUUCAAUUAAGAAAACAAUGGCGACACUAUCAACCAGGAAAUAAUAAUGACAAGAUCAUAAAUCUUGAAAGAUAUUGCAAGCAGGAAAUACAAAUGAAAAUUGGGCAGUAGAUUUCAAAAAAGCAUAGGUUGAUUACCUGCUUUAUAUACCUUCAAUAGAAAAUGUGGAUCCUUCCGGUCUAUUCCUCAUCCGAGUCAUCCGUAUGGUAUGGACAUAGUUCGUAAUCUGCGCCAUUUGUAAUAUGAUAAUAUCGAUAAAUCUGCGUUCCAGAUAAUUCCGGAAUUGUUUUGAGCGACUUGCAUCCAAUGAUAUUCAGUUUUUCCAAAAACUCCAAC